AACGAACGCUGGCGGCGCGCCUAAUACAUGCAAGUCGAGCGAGAAGACGUAGCAAUACGUUUGUAAAGCGGCGAACGGGUGAGGAAUACAUGGGUAACCUACCCUCGAGUGGGGAAUAACUAGCCGAAAGGUUAGCUAAUACCGCGUACGCUCCUUGGACUUCGGUUCAGGGAGGAAAGCGAUACCGUGGGUAUCGCGCUCUUGGAUGGGCUCAUGUCCUAUCAGCUUGUUGGUGAGGUAACGGCUCACCAAGGCUUCGACGGGUAGCUGGUCUGAGAGGACGAUCAGCCACACUGGCACUGCGACACGGGCCAGACUCCUA
rnacentral:rRNA from 1 species